rnacentral:rRNA from 1 species
GACGAACGCUGGCGGCGUGCUUAACACAUGCAUGUCGAGCGAGAAACUUCGGUUUCUAGCGGCGGACGGGUGAGUAACACGUGGGCAACCUGCCUCACAAUGGGGGAUAGCCUUCCGAAAGGAAGAUUAAUACCGCAUAACACAAAGGAAACGCAUGUUUCUUUUGCCAAAGAAUUUCGUUGUGAGAUGGGCCCGCGGCGCAUUAGCUUGUUGGUGAGGUAACGGCUCACCAAGGCGACGAUGCGUAGCCGACCUGAGAGGGUGAUCGGCCACAUUGGAACUGAGACACGGUCCAGACUCCUACGGGAGGCAGCAGUGGGGAAUAUUGCACAAUGGAGGAAACUCUGAUGCGGCAACGCCGCGUGAGUGAUGAAGGUCUUCGGAUUGUAAAGCUCUGUCUUCUGGGACGAUAAUGACGGUACCAGAGGAGGAAGCCACGGCUAACUACGUGCCAGCAGCCGCGGUAAAAC